AUAACUUUUUCAAAUCAUGAUACAUCUUCGUAGCUCCAGGAUGAAUACUCAAGCCACUACGAUGUCCUUCCUCCAGGAUACUCUUCUUAAGUUCGGUAACAUCCGGAAUACAUACCCGAUUACCAAAUUUCAAAACACCACUCUCAUCAACUCUGAAUUCACCACCUUGACCUUGAUUCACUAGAGUCAACUUAUCAACCAAAAGCACAUCGGAUUUCUGACC
rnacentral:lncRNA from 1 species